rnacentral:rRNA from 1 species
UACAGAGGUUGCAAGCGUUGUUCGGAAUUACUGGGCGUAAAGGGCUCGUAGGUGGCCAACUAAGUCAGACGUGAAAUCCCUCGGCUUAACCGGGGAACUGCGUCUGAUACUGGAUGGCUUGAGUUCGGGAGAGGGAUGCGGAAUUCCAGGUGUAGCGGUGAAAUGCGUAGAUAUCUGGAGGAACACCGGUGGCGAAGGCGGCAUCCUGGACCGAUACUGACACUGAGGAGCGAAAGCCAGGGGAGCAAACGGG